rnacentral:rRNA from 1 species
AAUGAACGCUGGCGGCGUGCUUAACACAUGCAAGUCGUGCGCGAAGGUGGCUUCGGCCACCGGAGAGCGGCGAACGGGUGAGUAACACGUGGGUGAUCUGCCUGGGAGCGGGGGAUAACCUGGGGAAACUCGGGCUAAUACCGCAUACGUUGGCGGGUUUACGGACUCGUCAAGAAAGCUGGCCUCUAUGUAUAAGCUAGCACUCCCAGAGGAGCCCGCGGCUGAUUAGCUAGUUGGUGAGGUAAUGGCCCACCAAGGCGACGAUCAGUAGCCGGCCUGAGAGGGUGAUCGGCCACACUGGGACUGAGACACGGCCCAGACUCCUACGGGAGGCAGCAGUGGGGAAUAUUGGACAAUGGGCGCAAGCCUGAUCCAGCAACGCCGCGUGGAGGAUGAAGGUCUUCGGAUCGUAAACUCCUGUCAGACGGGACGAAGGCAGCCGGGUGAACAAUCCGGCUGCUUGACGGUACCGUCAGAGGAAGCCCCGGCUAACUCCGUGCCAGCAGCCGCGGUAAUAC